AGCUGCGCGUUGAAUACAUAACAAAUUAUUCUUUCUACUUUUACUAAAAAAUACUGUGGGCUUGUCGCUAUCAAGCGGCGUACACCAUUUUUGGAGGGUUGUCGUAUUGACAAACC